rnacentral:rRNA from 1 species
CGAGGAAUAUUGCACACUGGAGGAAACUCUGAUGCAGUAACGCCGCGUGGGGGAAGAAGACCUUCGGUUGUAAACCUCUUUUUGUUAAAGACGAGUGAGGACGGUAUUUAUAGAAUAAGUCUCGGCUAACUACGUGCCAGCAGCCUCGGUAAGACGUAGGAGGCGAGCGUUAUCCGGAUUUACUGGGCGUAAAGCGCAUGUAGGCGGUUCGCUAAGUCCGCGGUUAAAGCCCCCGGCUCAACUGGGGGAGGUCCGUGGAGACUAUCGGACUUGAGGGCAACAGAGGCACGUGGAACUCCCGGUGUAGCGGUGGAAUGCGUAGAGAUCGGGAAGAACACCAGUGGCGAAGGCGACGUGCUGGGUUGCAACUGACGCUGAGAUGCGAAAGUGUGGGGAGCAAAC